AGGGGACGGCGGCGGAGGGAAUUGGUCUGGAAGUCUAAUUGCAGCAUCUUUAACUGGUGCUUUUGGGUCAUCUUUUCUUUAUGGUUACAAUCUCUCUGUGGUGAACGCACCUGCAGUGUAUAUCAAGAAGUUCUACAAUGAAACUUGGGAACGAAGAUAUGGCUUCUCUGUGGAUGAAAGCACCCUGACUCUCCUCUGGUCUGUAACUGUUUCCAUUUUUGCCAUCGGUGGCCUUGUGGGCGCAAUUAUUGUUACCCCGAUUGUGAAGUUCUUUGGACGGUAAGUGCAUUGGAAAACUACUGAUUUCUAAAGCACUUUCUAACCUAGCUUAUCUAAAGAUCUUUACUUGUAUUUUAUCUUUUAAAACCCUGUUCAUCUCUACCAGAAUGUGAAGUUAUGAAAUCUUAUCUCUAAGAGUCGUGAAUUUCAAAGAGUAAAAUUAAUACCUUUUCAUCUGACCAUACUGUGCUAUAUUUGAGUCAAUAUAAACAAUUUGCCCAGAAUUGAUAUCAUGUUGAGGUGUCAUAAAUGUUGAAUAAGCAAGUGUGCAAAAAGAAAAAACAAAACAAAACAAAACAAAAAA